UUAAUUCUCUCUAUGCUUAAUCCUUUACUCUCAGAAGGAUGAGGCAGGAGGAUUUCGAGUUUGAGGACAGCCUAGAUACAUAGACGCAGAAAGACUCUGUGUCUAAAAAUAAACAAAACAAAGCAGAACAGGAAGUCAGUGUUGGUCUCGGUUCCCCUUUCAUUGCUAGGACUCCCUGGAGCACCUUUGGAAUGCUGAAAUCAGUUGGAGACAAGGGGACCUGGACAGAAGGAAAGAGACAGACUACCUGUCCUCCAAAUAAGUGGGGUGCCCAGAUGCCUCACCUCCUGUAUCACAAAACUACAGCAACAACUGGAACAGGGGCUAGAAGUAUUCAUUGAAAUAUACAUUGCCAGAACAAGCACACUGCCAUUGGCUCAGCGACCUCCAACUCACACGGCAUUUGGAGUGGGUGUCACCAUGUGCCAGGCAUCGAGGACACAUGGCAGGUGGAGCCCACAAUUCUUGAUGAAAGUUUCCAGCUGAGAGAUUUGCUGAGCAAGGACAGAUCCAUCCUCCUGCAACACAAAGUGAGGCCUGGAAGCCCAGAAGCCAUAUUACAGCCUCGAGAAGAAAGCUGAGCAGAUGAUGGUGACAGAGAGAGGACUUUGUUUUUCCUGUCUCUAAUCUGCUCUUUCCAUUUCUGAGCUUCUUGGUAUGUGAGUAAAAGCAAGCGGGCUUGCUGCUGUCCCCCUCGAUGGCCUAUUUAUUACUUGUAACUGACAGAAAUCUUGAAGGAUGGCUUGCUACAAGGGUACCACAGGAAACCCAAUAUGGAAAAACAAAGAACAGAGGCUUGAAGUGUUUGUCAGCCACGAGGUGCUGGGACAGAGGACCUGCAUAACUACACGGACUCAUUCUGAACCAGGGGUUCUGAACCUUCCCAAUGCUACAACCCUUAUAGUUCCUCAUGAUGUGAGCCUCUCUCCCGCAACCACGAUUUUAUUUUCAUUGCUACUCCAUAUCUGUAAUUUUGCUACUGUUAUA
rnacentral:sRNA from 1 species